rnacentral:rRNA from 1 species
GACGAACGCUGGCGGCGUGCUUAACACAUGCCAGUCGAACGGAAAGGCCCUGCUUUUGUGGGGUGCUCGAGUGGCGAACGGGUGAGUAACACGUGAGUAACCUGCCCUUGACUUUGUGAUAACUUCAGGAAACUGGGGCUAAUACCGGAUAGGAGCUCCUGCUGCAUGGUGUGGGUUGGAAAGUUUCGGCGGUUGGGGAUGGACUCGCGGCUUAUCAGCUUGUUGGUGGGGUAGUGGCUUACCAAGGCUUUGACGGGUAGCCGGCCUGAGAGGGUGACCGGCGACAUGGGGCCUGAGAUACGGACCAGACUCCUACGGGAGGCAGUAGUGGGGAAUAUUGCACAAUGGGCGGAAGCGUGAUGCAGAAACGCCGCGUGCGGGAUGACGGCCUUCGAGUUGUAAACCGAUUUCGCAUGUGACGAAGCGUGAGUGACGGUAAUGGGUAAAGAAGCACCGGCUAACUACGUG